CCCUUAGAUGUUCUGGGCCGCACGCGUGCUACACUGAGUAAUUCAAUGGGUAAGGGAACGCUAGAGCAUUACCUAAUCUUGAAAUUUGCUCGUGAUGGGGAUCGACGGUUGCAAUUUUCCGUCGUGAACGAGGAAUACCUUGUAGGCGCAUGUCAUCAUCAUGCACCGAAUACGUCCCUGCCCUUUGUACACACCGCCCGUCGCUCCUACCGAUUGAGUGAUCCGGUGAGGCUCUGGGACCUGGACGGAAAGAGCGUUUCGCUUGUUCUGUUUGGGAAACUUGGUCGAACCUUAUCAUUUAGAGGAAGGAGAAGUCGUAACA
rnacentral:rRNA from 1 species